UCCCUGGUGGUCCAGUGGUUAGGAUUUGGCACUCUCACUGCUGUGGCCCGGGUUUGAUUCCCGGUUAGGGAA
rnacentral:tRNA from 1 species